rnacentral:rRNA from 1 species
GAUGAACGCUGGCGGCGUGCCUAAUACAUGCAAGUCGAGCGAAUGGAUUAAGAGCUUGCUCUUAUGAAGUUAGCGGCGGACGGGUGAGUAACACGUGGGUAACCUGCCCAUAAGACUAGGAUAACUCCGGGAAACCGGGGCUAAUACCGGAUAACAUUUUGAACCGCAUGGUUCGAAAUUGAAAGGCGGCUUCGGCUGUCACUUAUGGAUGGACCCGCGUCGCAUUAGCUAGUUGGUGAGGGAACGGCUCACCAAGGAAACGAUGCGUAGCCGACCUGAGAGGGUGAUCGGCCACACUGGGACUGAGACACGGCCCAGACUCCUACGGGAGGCAGCAGUAGGGAGUCUUCCGCAAUGGACGAAAGUCUGACGGAGCAACGCCGCGUGAGUGAUGAAGGCUUUCGGGUCGUAAAACUCUGUUGUUAGGGAAGAACAAGUGCUAGUUGAAUAAGCUGGCACCUUGACGGUACCUAACCAGAAAGCCACGGCUAACUACGUGCCAGCAGCCGCGGUAA